rnacentral:rRNA from 1 species
UGUUUACCAAAAACACAGGUCUCCACAAAAUCGUAAGACCAUGUAUGGGGGCU